UACGUAGGGGGCAAGCGUUGUCCGGAAUUAUUGGGCGUAAAGCGCGCGCAGGCGGUCAAUUAAGUCUGGUGUUUAAGGCUGUGGCUCAACCACAGUUCGCACUGGAAACUGGUUGACUUGAGUACAGAAGAGGAAAGUGGAAUUCCACGUGUAGCGGUGAAAUGCGUAGAGAUGUGGGAGGAACACCAGUGGCGAAGGCGACUUUCUGGGCUGUAACUGACGCUGGAGGCGCGAAAGCGUGGGGGAGCAAACAG
rnacentral:rRNA from 1 species